rnacentral:misc_RNA from 1 species
AACGAUGCUGCCCAGAAGACUUUCUUUGAUAUCCUUAAAAGUAGAGGGGAGAAGCUUUUGCGAUUUCCUUCCUUUGUUGCUGUCGAUCUCUCUCCACCACCGGCAGUUAGAGAAGGGGUUUCUGUGCUGUUGGAAAUAAUUGACACUUAUAAUAGCAUGAUGGUUCCAGCUUCAGGGAAAAAGGCUGCUUUUGAUCCCGUGUUAUCUGCUUUACUUGAUCCCA